AAACCCAUCCACUUUUCUAGCUUGAUAGCCACUCCUUUUAGUAUUGCCGAAAUCUUGUUUCGACACCGUUCAACCUUCCUAAAGAUAUCUGAGUUGGGCAGUAGCGACGUUAAUGUCCUAGGGGAAAUCGUUUUGUGCCUGUGAUAUGUAAUGGAAGCUAGUGUCCCUAGCGCAAACAUGGAUGUUUAGUUUCUGCUGUUAUGUGUUUUUUUUUUCUGUUUUUUCUGUAUCAGACUAUGUUUCUGUUCUGGGCCUGUGUUUCAGACUGGGUGAGUAAAAUUACCUGCUGUCAAAAAAAAAAUCCAUCUGCAGACUCCACUGAAAACGUUAAUCCACAUGUUGCCAGUAUCCCACACAAAUGAGUUACUCUGUGUUCACAGAGAGGAUGUCCUUAUAGUGUAAUAUAUGGUUUGGCAUGCAAAAUAUUUGGUCAUGUGGACAUUCAGUGGGAUAACAUAGUAUUUAUGUAUUGUGGUCUGUGUAGAUCUUUGAGUCCAUGUAGCUAAUAAGAUGCUACAUCUUGUUCACAAUACUUUCCCAUGUGUGUACAACUUAUGCUUGUGGCUUGUCGGCUACCAGGAAAUUUUAAUGCAAAAUUCACUUUCUUCGAAGUAUUGUGUGUCACCUCUCGCAGUCCCUGUGUGGUAUAUAUGGGGGAUCAUAAAAUUUCUUAUGUCAGAUCUGUGGAUGGAAUUCUUUAUAAGGAACAACGAUGUUAGUUUUGAUAAAGUCUCUCUACUAACAACUACUAGCAUGUGAAUGAAGACCGGCCCUUACUUUCCUGCCCGGGAAAAGCCAUUCAGAAAAGCAAGUAUCUCUUCUUUAUGUGCAUUCUUUCUUUAGUACCUUGUGUAAGACACUAUAUACACUCCUUGUACAAGUGAAAAUUAUAUUAGGUUAUGGGCAGUCAUAAUCAGUUCUGGUAUAUAAGAAUCUCGAGAAAAUAUUUUCCUAGUUCAUGGUCAUUGUAAGCAUUCCUUUCUCUAUGCAUGAGCCUCUUUUCAACUUUCUCUUUCCUAGGAGAUGGAAUUUAGGGUUGGAAGACAUCUGGAAUGGAAGUAAAACCAUAUGUGGACGAGGGGAUGGAUGGAUACAUCUAUAUUGGAUCAGCAAGGGGUAGUGAUGGAGCAUGCCUAAAAAAAAUUGGUGGGUCAGGCAUGGCGCAACAGUCAAUGGUGUUCCUAAAUUCAUGCUAGUUGGUACACCGUACACCAGGUAGCACGAGUAUUUCUAAAUGUUUUAGGCUAUAGGUCGUAGCAUGUGUAUUCCUAAUUGUUUUAAGCUAUAUUAAUUAUAGUAUUACUUGAUAUUCGAAGUACUAGUAUAUACCUUACCCCCGGUAAUUUUUGUUAUAGGUUCGUCAUUGGUGGAAGUGUGCAGCUAGCGCUAGGGGCUAAAUUCCUCGUUGCGAUGGUGGGCGGCUCAGUGGUUGCGUUGAUCGUUGAGCUAUUUGAGUUGGAGGCUCUUGAGAUAGGCAGAGCAUCUGUAGUAUAUCAUGCAUGCAUCGGUACUAAAGGUGGGACCCAUGUCAGAUAUAGCACCUCGUGAGAACUGAUGCGAUGUAUAAAGUUGGCAAAGGUACUUAUUGUGGGUCCCACAUAGAUUAAAAUAAGAUAAAGAAAACCCAUCAUCUCUCUCAUACAUGCAGACCAAAGACACAAUUUGACUGAUGCGUGGGCCCUGUCAUAUGCUCUUUCUAGUAGAAUCGGGUUCUAUGACUAGUACCCAGCUCUUGCUUGAGACCGGCUAAAAAACAUAUCAUAAUGUGUGGAUGCGGCUGUAUCCUUUUCUCUCUCUUCUAGUGCCUCCUCUAAGUGAAACACUGUGUAUGCUCUCAGGAGCCUGUCGAUGGUAUCACACUACAACAUCAAGCCAUUAAUUCAAUGUGAUGCUCACCAAGAACUAGCUAGGAAGCCCUCUUUCUCUCAGAUACAGGGUUUCCCAAACCGCCGGGGCCGGGGUUACCGCGCCCCGGCGGUAAGCACGGUUACCGCACUGUAACCGUGAAAACCGUACAAAACCGUGCAAAAUUUAUCAAAAAUUCAAAUUAUUUUUUAAAUUUAUUUGAAUUUAAGGAGGUUACCGCGGUAUUUAUAUUACUGUACCCCGCGGUAAGCAUGGUAAGCAUGGUAACCGCACGGUUGCCGGCAGUAACGUAAACCCUGCACGGUUGCCGGCAGUAACGUAAACCCUGCUCAGAUAUAGGAAUUUAUGUGUAGCCACUGCACAAAUACCACUUAAUUUGAAACUUAAUUGGCAAUAGUUUCAGCAAGUGAUUGAAUUUAGCUCAUGGGAGAUGGCAUGUCUAAGGUUUCGUUAAGUAUCAAUAACUGAUAGAUCAAUGAGAUUAGGUGCCAUGAUUGAAUUUCAGUAAAUCGCCAGGAAAGAUGCACGCAUGAACAGACCAUCGUUCACUUGGUUAUGUUGCAACUAGACAAUAGAGCAAAACACACCGGGGUGGGGGGUUAAGAACAUUACGUUCACAACUUCACAUAUUGAAGCUUCAUUUCACGGAUGAUAAAUUACCUUUCUCAACUAUUUAAAUUGAUGGGAUGAAUCGACAAAUGGGAUAUAUACUAAUACUUUGUUCUCCCUGUGAUUAUUCACUGGAUAAAUAAUUUAGUUGGCUUUUAGGAAAAUUUGUAGAACCGCACUAGUCAAUGCUAGCUAAACUAUGAUCUUAAGAACCUUUACAUUUUUCUACCGAUUCAUAAGUGGGCACCACAACACCAGAAUUACAUUUAUCUAAAAACAACUAUAUAUACUAUUCCCCGUGCAAAAAAAUAAAAAACUAUACUAUUUAUCACAGCAUCACUGCAGCACAUGAUGUGGUAGGCCCAGGACUACCCUAGAAUUUGGCCUAGAGAAGACCAGGUAUUCAUUUUUCUUGGCCCAUGAAAAAAGCCUGGUCCAACAAAUAAAAAAAACCGUAAUUCUCUCUCUCCCGUGCACUCUCCCCUCCCAGCCUCCACUCCCUCCCAACAGACAAGCAACGGCGACGGCGCUCCCACGACCUGCAUGGCUGGCGCGACUCCGGCGCUCCCGCCGUCCUGCGAGGCCCCUAUGCGCGCCGCCACUCCUCCCGUCCGUCCGGCUCCCACUAGGCGCUCGCGCCCAGCCGUGGCGCCCGGCGGCGCCGCUACCUUCGCGUGCCACACUGGCGCCGGCGCGGCCGCGCCCUCUCCACGACUCCGCGUCUCCGGCUCUUCGCCCCUGGCCAGCUGGCCACACCCUCUCUGUCCCGCGUUCAGCCGUCACCCACUCGCCCGGCCUCCUGGGCUCCCGGCUGACCAGCUCCUGGCCUCCCGGCUCCCGCGGUCUCGGUGUCCGGCCCGACAACGCUAGUGCCCAGCCACCCAAGCCGGCAGGCCCCAGCCGCCGUCCGCCCGUCCGGCCAGUGCUAGUGCACUAGUGCGCCACUCCCUCUCCGGACUCCGGAGAUUGAGGCAUGGAGAAGUCAAGCAUUGCGUUGCUUUUUCAGAAGCAUGAAGCAAAAAAAGUUGCAUCUUGUGAUAUACCAAUCCCAUAUAUGGAUGAAGGGUCGUCUGUUCGUGCUGUAGAUGAUGCUCUAAUUGAUGAAGACGUAAACGUUGUUGACGAAAGGUCAUGUGAAGAACAAGAACACCUCCACCUCCAAAUGUUCUUCAUUUAGGUUGCUAGAGUUACAAUUUAGGACUGGGAGAUGUCAGGAAUAGACACUGCAGGAUUUUGUGUCAUGUAACAAUAUGUCGAAGGCAUUGAAAGUUGUGAUGCUUUCAUGACUGCUCACCUAAUUCGUUGGUUCCAUUACAAGUAAGUGGCAUGUUCGGCUGCUUUGUACCGUCGUUGCGCUGCCACAGCCAGAAGAAACAACACACUGUUCUUGUUGGCUACAGCACAGCAAAAAUAAGAGCAGCCGACCAGAGCCAAGAAUGAAGAUCCAUGUAGAAAAAGAAGUACAAUGGCAUGCUGGAACAGAAAACGACUGUAACCAAGCACUCAUAACCCAACCUAAAUUAAAAAAAAAAUUGCCGCCAGAAAUUCUUAUUAGUGCUAGUUCUAGCCACGAUUCGGCAAUGGUAAGUGCCUCAUGUAACGUUCCGCUUUUCGUGAGUCGUUAAAAACUAAUUCGGCAAAAUCCUAUAUGUGAAAAUUUCGUUCUUUGUGUGAGAGUAUAAGUUGUGCCAAGAUCUCAAUUCAAAUCUCCAUUGUUGUUCCCUCUCGUCGCCAUCAAAAUCCUCCACCUCAAGAUUCCAAUUCCAAUUCAAUUUAUUCCAAAGGUCAAUCGCCUCCUUUGAAUCAUCGCCAAAUACUUGUCCCGAUUCCACAAAUAUCCGAGUCCACCUUAAAUCCAUUCCUUGAUUCCUCCCUGAACCCUCGAGUUCGGAUAUCGAAUUUGAAUCCAAAUCCAAACUCCAAUUCUCUCCAAUUCAAUUUCUC